GACGAACGCUGGCGGCGUGCUUAACACAUGCAAGUCGAACGGGUCUGCCCUGUUUUUUGCGGGGUGGGUCAGUGGCGAACGGGUGAGUAACACGUGAGUAACCUGCCCCUCACUUCUGGAUAACCGCUUGAAAGGGUGGCUAAUACGGGGUGUUCUGGCUGUGCCGCAUGGUGUGGCUGGGAAAGAUUCACUUUUGUGGUGUUUUGGCGGGGGAUGGGCUCGCGGCCUAUCAGCUUGUUGGUGGGGUGAUGGCCUGCUAAGGCUAUGACGGGUAGCCGGCCUGGGAGGGUGGGCGGUCCCGCUGGGGAUGAGAUACGGCCCAGACUCCUGCGGGAGGCAGCAGUGGGGGGUAUUGCACAAUGGGCGGAAGCCUGAUGCAGCGACGUCGCGUGAGGGAUGGAGGCCUUCGGGUUGUGAACCUCUUUCGCCGGUGAAGAAGGUCCUGCUCUUUGUGGUGGGGUUGACGGUAGCCGGGUUAUGAAGCGCCGGCUAACUACGUG
rnacentral:rRNA from 1 species